ACCCAGUAAAGCGAAUGAUUAAAGGAAUUGGAAUCUAGACGACCUCAACUUAUUCUCAAACUUUCAAUAGGU
rnacentral:ncRNA from 1 species